UCGACGGAGAGUUUGAUCCUGGCUCAGGACGAACGCUGGCGGCGGGCCUAACACAUGCAAGUCGAACGCACUCGACCUUCGGGUCACAUGAGUGAGUGGCGAACGGGUGAGUAACACGUGAGAAACCUGCCCCGAAGA
rnacentral:rRNA from 1 species